rnacentral:rRNA from 1 species
UCCGCAAUGUACGAAAGUGCGACGGGGGGCUCCCAAGUGUUAUGCUUUUUUGUAUGACUUUUCAUUAGUGUAAAAAGCUUUUAGAAUAAGAGCUGGGCAAGACCGGUGCCAGCCGCCGCGGUAACACCGGCAGCUCGAGUGGUAGCUGUUUUUAUUGGGCCUAAAGCGUUCGUAGCCGGUUUGAUAAGUCUUUGGUGAAAGCUUGUAGCUUAACUAUAAGAAUUGCUGGAGAUACUAUUAGACUUGAAGUCGGGAGAGGUUAGAGGUACUACCGGGGUAGGGGUGAAAUCCUAUAAUCCUGGGAGGACCACCUGUGGCGAAGGCGUCUAACUGGAACGAUCUUGACGGUGAGUAACGAAAGCCAGGGGCGCGAACCGGAUUAGAUACCCGGGUAGUCCUGGCCGUAAACGAUGUGGACUUGGUGUUGGAAUGGAUUUGAGUUGUUCCGGUGCCGAAGGGAAGCUGUUAAGUCCACCGCCUGGGAAGUACGGUCGCAAGACUGAAACUUAA